GCUUGUCUCAAAGAUUAAGCCAUGCAUGUCUCAGUAUAAGCUUGUGCAUAGUGAAACUGCGAACGGCUCAUUAUAACAGUUAUAAUUUGUUUGGUGUUCAAGUUUACAUGGGUAACUGUGGCAAUUCUAGAGCUAAUACAUGCUGUUAAACCUUAAGGUUGUAUUUAUUAGAUAUCAAGCCGAUAAUUUUGAUGAUUCAUAAUAACUGAUCGAAUCGAGGGAUUCCUCGAUAAAUCAUUCAAGUUUCUGCCCUAUCAGCUAGAUGGUAGUGUAUUGGACUACCAUGGCAGUCACGGGUAACGGAGAAUUAGGGUUCGGUUCCGGAGAGGGAGCCUGAGAAAUGGCUACCACAUCUAAGGAAGGCAGCAGG
rnacentral:rRNA from 1 species